GGCUUUGGGACAAGUCAUCUCAUUUCUCUUAUCCUCAGUUUCCUCCUCCAUAAGGCAUAGGCUGGGCCAGAUGAUAUCUAGGGUCUCUGAGAACCAAGCAUUCCAUGGUUCUAUGUAUUUGGAGAGGGGCAGGCUUUCCCUCUGAACCUACAUUCUAAGGUGGAAAGGACAUUGGAACACAAAAUGUCAAAACUUGGGGAAAACAUCUAAUCCAAACCUUCAUUGUAGAGAGGAGGAAGUGGAAGAGUAGCAAAUUAUCCAUCUACCUGAUAGAAAAAGUUAACAAGAUACUAUUCCUUCUAUCAGAGCCCCAGGAAAAGUCCCACAUUGGCCUGACUCCAUUCUGAAUGAUUGUGCAGUAAGAUUCAAUUAAAGUUUAGACGUAAAAGAUGAAAAGAAAGCUUCAGGAUCAGCCUUUCCCCACAUUCUUCUUAGAAGAGAGGUGAGAUUAUAGGUACGUUUUCUACAAUUAGACUCAUAUUGUUCAAACUGGAAGAGCCCUUAGAAAACCCAGUUCUACCGUUGAAGGACCUAGGAUGAGUCUCCUAUCCUCUCUGGACUUCAAUUCUCUCCCAUAAGCCAUCACUCUGAUCUUCCUCUCAUUACCAUGAUUUAAUCUAAACUUUUCCUUUUGGAUAUAAGAAAACUAAGAACCAUGUUAGUCUCCAAGUUUUUCUAAUACCAGUGCUCUCCAUCAACUAUUCCACAGAACAUCCAAUGCUCUCCCCAGUCCCUCGCAAAGCACAACAUUCAGAGGUCCAUCCACUAACCUGAUGUACACUAAUGAUAACUCUCCCUUGCAAAAUUCAACUACAA
rnacentral:lncRNA from 1 species